AUUGAACGCUGGCGGCAGGCCUAACACAUGCAAGUCGAACGAGUGGCGGACGGGUGAGUAAUGUCUGGGCAACUGCCUGAUGGAUGGGGAUAACUACUGGGAACGGUAGCUAAUAACGCCUACCAUCCGAUGAUCCCAGAUGGGAUUAGCUAGUUGGUGGGGUAACGGCUCACCAAGGCGACGAUGCCUAGCGGGUCUGAGAUGAUGCCCAGCCACACUGGAACGGAGACAAGGUCCAGACUCCUACGGGAGGCAGACGUGGGGAAUAUUGCAAAAUGUGCGAAAGCCUGAUGCAGCCAUGCCGCGUGUAUGAAGAAGGCUUGCGGGUGGUAAAGUAUUUUCAGUGGGGAGGCGUUACCCGAAGAAGAAGCACCGGCUAACUCCGUGCCAGCAGCCGCGGUAAUUC
rnacentral:rRNA from 1 species